rnacentral:rRNA from 1 species
AGAGUUUGAUCCUGGCUCAGAAUCAACGCUGGCGGCAUGCCUAACACAUGCAAGUCGAACGCGGUUUCCUCGCAAGGGGAAGCUGAGUGGCGAACGGGUGAGUAACGCGUGGGUGACCUACCUUCGAGUGGGGGAUAACGUCCCGAAAGGGACGCUAAUACCGCAUGACAUCCUGCCUUUGAAUAGGUGGAGAUCAAAGCCGGGGAUCGCAAGACCCGGCGCUUGAUGAGGGGCCCGCGUCCGAUUAGCUAGUUGGUGGGGUAACGGCUCACCAAGGCGACGAUCGGUAUCCGGCCUGAGAGGGCGACCGGCCACACUGGGACUGAGACACGGCCCAGACUCCUACGGGAGGCAGCAGUGGGGAAUAUUGCGCAAUGGGCGGAAGCCUGACGCAGCGACGCCGCGUGAGGGAUGACGGCCUUCGGGUUGUAAACCUCUUUCAGCUCUGACGAAGCGUGAGUGACGGUAGGGGCAGAAGAAGCGCCGGCCAACUACGUGCCAGCAGCCGCGGUAAUACGAAGGGGGCGAGCGUUGUUCGGAUUUACUGGGCGUAAAGGGCGCGUAGGCGGCUCAUCAAGUCAGGCGUGAAAGCCCCGGGCUCAACCUGGGAGGUGCGCUUGGGACUGGCGAGCUUGAGAUCGGGAGAGGAGAGUGGAAUUCCCAGUGUAAAGGUGAAAUUCGUAGAUAUUGGGAAGAACAUCAGUGGGGAAGGCGACUUCCUGGACCAAUACUGACGCUCAGGUGCGAAAGCGUGGGGAGCAAACAGGAUUAGAUUACCUGGUUGUCCACGCCCUAUACGAAU